UUUCUCUCUCUCACCUACAAAC
rnacentral:miRNA from 1 species